rnacentral:lncRNA from 1 species
GUUGGGGUUGCUGUUGGACACACCGGACCUGAACCCGGGUAUUUCCUGUUUUUUCUCCCUUCCAAGGCCACCUGAUUCUUGAGAUAGUUUAGUUGACUCUGUACAUUGAGUAUCUGUCCUUCAGUUGUCAGUAGCCCAAGUAACUUUUCUUCUUGUCCUUUUUCCUUGUUUGCUUGCCGGGCCUUUCACAAUUUCCCUUACGACUCGGCAUUUCUCCAAAUCAAAUGAACCCGUUUUGGGAUAAUAUUGAUAUUUUUUUCUUUCUUUCUUUGUCCACUUAUACCAUUUCUCCAAAAAAAAAAAAAACCCACACCAGGUCCUUCUUCAGGAAUGGGUAUUUACCUUGCAGAUACGCGUAGUAUCUGGCUUCGUUGGAGUACGGUCGCUAGGAGCCUCUCUAUAUUCCGUUGCCAUGGUGUUUUAUGGUUGUUUAUUUAACGAACGAGCUGCGUGUAACGUUGGGCUAAGUGGAAUUUUUUUUUUUUCUUCUAUGUGUUGGUCCUUUUUUUUUACGUCACGUUUCCCCCCCACCUGUUUUUAAAUAUUCUACGUGGCUACUCUACCCUCUCUAUCAGUGUGUGUGUGUGGGGGGAGGAGGGUAGUUCCUGUGUGAUACAAGGAAACUCGAUUCUAUUCUAUGUAUGGUCAGUCACUUUUCUUUUAGUUUAACCCCGUUCGUUAAACCACGCUACCGUGUAGAAGGAACGACAUUAUACAUGUACUUAAUGUAAAAUAGGUUUCGCUCUCACUGGAAUAUCUACGAUCUCCGUCUAUUCUUUCAUUAUGGGUGUAUUGGUACAGAUAUUUCAUAUGUGGAUUUUAAUAAUAAUUUUUAAUAAUAAUAAUUGAUUACUAUCAAACGUUCUUUUUUUUAUAAUAAUCCAAAAUCUAAUCUCACACACCUAUUAUCGUGUUGUUGAUUUGGAUAAAACCCAUACACUAUGAUCAAAUGCUUUUAGUUCAAAAACAUUUUUUUGGGGGGGGGGCCCAUCUUCCAAUUUUCCAAUCUCACCAAUUUAUAAAUCAUACAUUUAGAACACAAUACAGAAAUAAACACAAUUAUAGUCCUCCACACAGGUCAGGACAGAAAUAAACAAAAUUAUAGUCCUCCACACAGGUCAGGACAGAAAUAAACAAAAUUAUAGUCCUCCACACAGGUCAGGACAGAAAUAAACAAAAUUAUAGUCCUCCACACAGGUCAGGACAGAAAUAAACAAAACAUUGUGUACACAAAACCAGCAUUUUCAACAGGCACGACGGCCUAAACCACAGCUUUAUACCAAGUUUCACACCAGGUCCUGUAACAGUCAGAAAUUCCUAACUAUACACCCGAAAUGGUUUGUGUCCAUAGAUCAACAUUCACAUGUUAACACAC